GACGAACGCUGGCGGCGUGCCUAACACAUGCAAGUCGAACGGACCGACCCGAUUAGUUUACUAAUUGGUAAGGUUAGUGGCGGACGGGUGAGUAACGCGUGGGCAAUCUACCCUGAAGACUGGGAUAACACCGGGAAACCGGUGCUAAUACCGGAUAAGCUUAUCUUAAGGCAUCUUGAGAUAAGGGAAGGAGGCCUCUGAUAUAAGCUUCCGCUUCAGGAAGAGCCCGCGUCCCAUUAGCUAGUUGGUGGGGUAACGGCCUACCAAGGCAACGAUGGGUAGCCGGCCUGAGAGGGUGACCGGCCACACUGGGACUGAGACACGGCCCAGACUCCUACGGGAGGCAGCAGUGGGGAAUAUUGCGCAAUGGGGGGAACCCUGACGCAGCAACGCCGCGUGAGUGAAGAAGGCCUUCGGUCGUAAAGCUCUGUCGAGAGGGAAGAAGUCUCUAGGGAGAAUAUCUUUAGAGGUGACGGUACCUUUUAAGGAAGCCCCGGCUAACUACGUGCCAGCAGCCGCGGUAAAAUCA
rnacentral:rRNA from 1 species